rnacentral:misc_RNA from 1 species
AACGCACCUUGCGCCUUUUGGUAUUCCGAAAGGCAUGCCUGUUUGAGUGUCAUGAAAUCUCAACCCCUCGGGUUUUUGACCCGUUGGGCUUGGACUUGGGUGUCUGCCACUGGCUGGCUCGCCUCAAAUGACUUGGUGGGAUAAGCGCCCAUGGCUGAGACGUGAUAAGUUUCGUCUGGCUUGGUGGUGAGGCCUGCUUCACAACACCCUUAAAUAUUAUUGACUCUGACCUCAAAUCAGGUAGGGCUACCCGCUGAACUUAA